rnacentral:rRNA from 1 species
UACAGAGGGGGCGAGCGUUGUUCGGAAUUACUGGGCGUAAAGGGCGCGUGGGCGGUUUUCUAAGUUUGGUGUGAAAUCUCCCGGCUUAACUGGGAGGGUGCGCCGAAAACUGGAAGGCUUGAGUAUGGGAGAGGUAAGCGGAAUUCCUGGUGUAGCGGUGAAAUGCGUAGAUAUCAGGAGGAACACCUGCGGUGUAGACGGCUUACUGGACCAUAACUGACGCUGAGGCACGAAAGCGUGGGUAGCAAACAGG